GACAGCUUUGACCUCUUUUCUUUUCCUCCUCAUCCUUCUUGUUUCCACCCCUAACACUUUCUGGCCUCUUGGUCCUUGUUUCCAGAGGCAGCUGGCCUUUGACAUUAGUGUCUUCUUGUCCUCUGCAGUGACUCCUGUACCCCACGAGGACACAAGAAAAUCAGGUCAAGGCAACUUGCAUAGUGAUGGUCCAGUGAAGAGAUUUAGUGGUUAAUGGUGGCAGCAUUAACCACAUCUGGGGCCAGUGUUCUUUGCCUCGGGCCCAGAAGGAACAGAGGCAUCUGGGAGGAGCAGGGGCACCUCACAGACUCCCUGGUAAGGAAUGCUUCAACUGACUCCCGGAUUGAAG
ensembl:lncRNA